UACGAAGGGGGCUAGCGUUGUUCGGAUUUACUGGGCGUAAAGCGCACGUAGGCGGAUCGUUAAGUCAGGGGUGAAAUCCUGGGGCUCAACCCCAGAACUGCCUUUGAUACUGGCGAUCUCGAGUCCGGAAGAGGUGAGUGGAACUCCUAGUGUAGAGGUGAAAUUCGUAGAUAUUAGGAAGAACACCGGUGGCGAAGGCGGCCCACUGGAUCGGUACUGACGCUGAGGUGCGAAAGCGUGGGGAGCAAACAGG
rnacentral:rRNA from 1 species